rnacentral:rRNA from 1 species
AGGACGAACGCUGGCGGCGUGCCUAACACAUGCAAGUCGAGCGGGGACAUACGACGGAUCGGAAGUUUCGGAUGGAAGAGAAGAUGUAUGUUCUAGCGGCGGACGGGUGAGUAACGCGUGAGCAACCUGUCCUUCACAGGGGGAUAACACAGCGAAAGUUGUACUAAUACCGCAUGAGACCACAUUGGGACAUCCCAGAGGGGUCAAAGGAGCAAUCCGGUGAAGGGUGGGCUCGCGUCCGAUUAGAUAGUUGGUGAGGUAACGGCCCACCAAGUCGACGAUCGGUAGCCGACCUGAGAGGGUGAUCGGCCACAUUGGGACUGAGACACGGCCCAAACUCCUACGGGAGGCAGCAGUGGGGAAUAUUGGGCAAUGGGGGAAACCCUUGACCCAGCAACGCCGCGUGAGGGAAGAAGGUUUUCGGAUCGUAAACCUCUGUCCUUGGUGAAGAGUGAGAGACGGUAGCCAAGGAGGAAGCCCCGGCUAACUACGUGCCAGCAGCAGC